rnacentral:rRNA from 1 species
ACGCUCGACACCUACGGAGGCAGCAGUGAGGAAUAUUGGUCAAUGGGCGCUAGCCUGAACCAGCCAAGUAGCGUGAAGGAUGAAGGCUCUAUGGGUCGUAAACUUCUUUUAUAUAAGAAUAAAGUGCAGUAUGUAUACUGUUUUGUAUGUAUUAUAUGAAUAAGGAUCGGCUAACUCCGUGGCAGCAGCCGCGGUAAUCUGAGCGGGCUGGCAAGGC